rnacentral:rRNA from 1 species
AUCUACGGCCAUGCCACCCUGAACAAGCCGGAUCCUGUCUGAUCUCAGAAGCUAAGCAGGGUCAGGUCUGGUUAGUACUUGAAUGGGAGACCACCUAGGAAGACCAGGUGCUGUAGGCA